rnacentral:piRNA from 1 species
UGGGAAUGCCUGAGGGUGAGGUUGAAGAGU